rnacentral:lncRNA from 1 species
CUAUUUGCCGAACAUCCUGAGGUUCAGGACUUGGGGAGAGCCCAUGCUAUACUGAGGCUUAGUGCUGGGAGUUUGCGAUUAAGUGAUUGGGGGAGGCCAGGGAGCUAUCACUUUGGGGUUCAAUUCAGUAGCCACCAAGGAAUAAUGGAGUCAAGAGUGGCACUGAUUGGGAGGCAGAGGCAGGCAGAUCACCUGAGGUCGGGAGUUUGAGACCAGCCUGGCCAACAUGGAGAAACCCCGUCUCUACUAAAACUGCAAUAUUAGCCGGGCGUGGUGGUGCAUGCCUGUAGUCCCAGCUACUUGGGAGACUGAAGCGGGAGAAUCACUUGAACUUGGGAGGCGGAGGUUGCUGUGAGCCCAGAUGGUGCCAUUGCACUCCAGCCUGGGCAACAAGACAGAAACUCCAUCUCAAAAAAAAAAAAAAAAAGAGUGGCAUUGAAGCCAAACAACCUUGUUUUUAAAUUGGGCUCUGCUGCUUACGGGGCUAUGAAACCAGAAGUUUUCUCAUGCCAGAAGCGAGGGGUCUUCUCUGCGUGUUCUCUCUUCCCCUGAAUCUUCCCUCACAUCAGCCAGUCCAGUCAACUCUACCCUCCAAUCCACCCACUGCUCUCCAUCUCUACCGCUGCAUUCUCCUCCGAGCCAACAUCGCUUCUUGCUGAGCCAAUAGGCAGGCCUUGGACCGUGUGCCUUCUUUCCCUUUUCACGCAGCAUCCAGAAGGAUAUUUUUGAAAUGAAAUCAGAUUAUGUCAUCCCCCUAAUUAAAAUCCUCCACAUGUUUUUUAUGAGGCACGAGAAUCACUUGGACCUGGGAGGCAGAGGUUGCAGUGAGCUGAGAUCGCACCACUGUACUCCAGCCUGGGUGACAGAGCAAGACUCUGUCCCCAGCCCCUCCCCUCCAAAAAAAAAGUGAAGUAAUCUGAUCAUGGGCACAGAGCAAGCCAGGUUCUGCAUACCAAGCAGGUCAUUGAAAAGUUUACAUUAUUAAUAAAAAAUUCUAUCACCUCCUGAGAAAACAGAGCUCUGCAAAGGGACGACCAAGGAGGGAAACUUAGUCUAACCUGGGGGUUUUAGAAGGGCUUCCCUUAGGAGAUAAGGGCUUUAAAGGAUCUGAAAGGUGGCUGAGCACAGUGGCUCACACCUGUAAUCCCAGCACUUUGGGAGGCUGAGGCAGGUGGAUCACCUGAGAUCAGGAGUUUGAGAUCAGCCUGACCAAUACGGUGAAACCCCAUCUCUACUAAAAAUACAAAAUUAGCCAGGCAUGGUGGUGCGUGCCUGUAGUCCCAGCUACUUGGGAGGCUGAGGCUGGAGAAUCGCUUGAACCCAGGAGGCGGAGGUUGCAGUGAGCCGAGAUUAUGCCAUUGCACUCCAGCCUGGACAACAAGAGUGAAACUCUUUUUAAAAAAAAAAAAAAAAAAAAAAGAAUCUGAAAGGUGAAUAAGAAUUAGAAAUAGGAGAAAGGUUGGAUAAAUAUCAUCAGAGAGAAUAAUGUGAGUAAAAGCACGUAGGCCUGCAACAGCAUUGCUACAAGCAGUUCAGCAUUAUCAGAGUGUAGCGUGCGUCAGAGACUGAUGGAAACUCAAGAUUGUGGGAAGG